rnacentral:rRNA from 1 species
GCCGCGUGAGUGAUGAAGGCUUUCGGGUCGUAAAACUCUGUUGUUAGGGAAGAACAAGUGCUAGUUGAAUAAGCUGGCACCUUGACGGUACCUAACCAGAAAGCCACGGCUAACUACGUGCCAGCAGCCGCGGUAAUACGUAGGUGGCAAGCGUUAUCCGGAAUUAUUGGGCGUAAAGCGCGCGCAGGUGGUUUCUUAAGUCUGAUGUGAAAGCCCACGGCUCAACCGUGGAGGGUCAUUGGAAACUGGGAGACUUGAGUGCAGAAGAGGAAAGUGGAAUUCCAUGUGUAGCGGUGAAAUGCGUAGAGAUAUGGAGGAACACCAGUGGCGAAGGCGACUUUCUGGUCUGUAACUGACACUGAGGCGCGAAAGCGUGGGGAGCAAACAGGAUUAGAUACCCCGGUAGU